GCAUAGGUGGUUCAGCGGUAGAAUUCUCACCUGCUGCUCAGGAGGCCUGGGUUCGUUUCCUGGCCAAUGCA
rnacentral:tRNA from 1 species